AUUGAACGCUGGCGGCAGGCCUAACACAUGCAAGUCGAGCGAAGCGGCGGACGGGCGAGUAAUACCUAGGAAUCUGCCUGGCCGUUGGGGAUAACGUUCGGUAACGGACGCUAAUACCGCAUACUAUCAGAUGAGCCUAGGUCGGAUUAGCUAGUUGGUGAGGUAAUGGCUUACCAAGGCUACGAUCCGUAACUGGUCUGAGAGGCUGAUCAGUCACACUGGAACUGAGACACGGUCCAGACUCCUACGGGAGGCAGCAGUGGGGAAUAUUCGGCAAUGGGCGAAAGCCUGAUCCAGCCAUGCCGCGUGUGUGAAGAAGGUCUUCGGAUUGUAAAGCACUUUAAGUUGGGAGGCGUUACCGACAGAGUAAGCACCGGCUAACUCCGUGCCAGCAGCCGCGGUAAUAC
rnacentral:rRNA from 1 species